AAGACUAUAGACCUGCGGAGUACCUGCGGAAGGAUCAUUAACGUAUCUAUGAUGGGGAGCGGAGCGCCCUGCUCCGGUCGAACGGCCGUGCAGCGGGUGCGCCGCCCCCGUCCCACCUCACAAACCCACUGUGAACAUUCACCGGUGGAGGGGGCUCGGUCUGCGCCGUGUCCCCGAUGCCGAAUACCCAAACUCCAGUUGCAAAGAACGUCGUGCGGACUCGGUGCCGCCUAAAACAUG
rnacentral:misc_RNA from 1 species